CGCUGAAAUGCAAGGAAAAUAGGGGAAGAACAAUCUUACAAAGUUCUAACUCUCACUUGAUCUUCAAACCACUAUAAUUUUUUACCCGGAGCUCCAAUUUCUGCAUCGUUUGCGGCCACGCGUUCACCGCGAAGAGCUCUAUAAAACCCACUACUUUGUUCUUGAGGAUCCAACUAGCUUGAAGGAGAGGCUUAAUAUUAUCUCCUUCAUCUUUGGGUAUGGUAGUGUGUAUGUGAAUAUUGAAGCUUGAUUGAGGUCUUGGAGAGCUUAGAAUAAACUUUUGUGUGCUAAAAAUCUGUUCUUGGAGGUGUUGAAGCUUUGAGAGCUUGUGGAAAAGUGAUUUGGAGGUGUUCCAGGUUAGGCGGGAAAGCGGCUAAGGUGAAAGCAGUGGCUAGCCACCACGUGUUCCAGGUGGAGACUCGAUACUCUACUGACCCUAUGUCGUAAGUGUGGCCUGACACUGUGAAAGUUUCGG